rnacentral:rRNA from 1 species
AGCGAACGCUGGCGGCAGGCCUAACACAUGCAAGUCGAACGAAGUCUUCGGACUUAGUGGCGGACGGGUGAGUAACACGUGGGAACGUGCCUUUAGGUUCGGAAUAACUCAGGGAAACUUGUGCUAAUACCGAAUGUGCCCUUCGGGGGAAAGAUUUAUCGCCUUUAGAGCGGCCCGCGUCUGAUUAGCUAGUUGGUGAGGUAAAGGCUCACCAAGGCGACGAUCAGUAGCUGGUCUGAGAGGAUGAUCAGCCACAUUGGGACUGAGACACGGCCCAAACUCCUACGGGAGGCAGCAGUGGGGAAUCUUGCGCAAUGGGCGAAAGCCUGACGCAGCCAUGCCGCGUGGAUGAUGAAGGUCUUAGGAUUGUAAAAUCCUUUCACCGGAGAAGAUAAUGACGGUAUCCGGAGAAGAAGCCCCGGCUAACUUCGUGCCAGCCGCCGCAGUAAUAC